rnacentral:lncRNA from 1 species
GAACGGUAGCAAAUUUAGCAACUUAUCGACCACGUAAAUAACAAAUAAAUUUAGCAACUUAUUGACCAUGUAAAUAACAAAUUGACAGCACCUCUCACAAUGAAACCCUAAUUUUUGUGCCCUGCUCAUUCAAUCCUAAUUUUGUACUGCCGCUGAUCAAUGGCUUCGAUCAAUCACUCCUGCCAUUCGCUCCGCUCCGAUCAACAAUAUUCGCUAUUAUCAAUCGCUCCGAUCAAUCACUUUGAUUAAUAAAACUUAAUACUUUUUAUUCGAUAUCGAAGAACUCAAUCGAAGCGGAAACUCCUUGAAUUCUACAUCUUCUACCACUCAAUCAAAGUAGCAAGGGUGGCUAAGGGGAUUUAUUGCGGAUUAUGGUGUCCCAGUAAUGGUGGUCAUACAUGCAACUUUUUAGUCGAAAUCCGUGGUCUCCUGGUGCUUACACAAAUUGGACCAUUGCAAAGUGCUGCAUCUCAACUUGUAUAUUAUUGGAGCUUUGGAAGAAAUUUAAAGAAAUUAAAGAUUCAAUGGAAUUAUAGCUGAGUUAAUGACUUAAAUGGAAAAAGAUAAAGCGGAGAAAGAAGCCAUGCUCGUUAGGAUGACGAACAUUGAGGCGAUGUUAACUUCGGUUCGAAAGUAACUAUAAACAUUUUUAGUUUGAAUGUUCGGGUUUAAAUGUUUUAAUUUGGGUUAUUGGAUAUUUUUCAUUUGGAUGUUUAUUAUGUGGAUCAUUGGAUGUUUGUUAUGAUUUUGAAAGGUUAUAAAUGGUUACAUUUUUUUA